CAGCGGCUCAGCCCCUCGCCCCCAGCGACGAGUCGACGCCAGGCCCGGAGCGUUGGGGCCGCAACCGGCCGCCCAGCUCCUGCUCACCUGCGGUCUCGCCGCCUCGCAGUGCCUGGGCCGCCGGCCCGCAGCGCCUCCCGGGGGUAGUCUAGCGCCAGCAACCGGCCACCCGCAGCGGAGCCCGUUGCCUUGGCGACCUGGGCUGCCGAACUCCCGCGGCACUCGCGCUACGGCGGCUCGGAUGGGACCAGGACGAUUCGCGUCCCCUUCCGCAGCCGCGGAGGGGGCAGAGGAGGGACGAGGUCGAGGGCUGAGCUGCGAAGGAGGGAUCUGGGUUGGAAGUAUACACCCAGAUGGCCUGAAGUAACUGAAGAAUCACAAAAGAAGUGCAAAUGGCCUGCCCUGCCUUAACUGAUGACAUUCCACCACAAAAGAAGUGAAAAUGGCCGGUCCUUGCCUUAAGUGAUGACAUUACCUUGUGAAAUUCCCUUUCCUGGCUCAGAAAACUCCCCCACUAAGCACCUUGUGACCUCCACUCCUGCCCGGCAGAGAACAACCCCCCUUUGUAAUUUUCCGUUACCUACCCAACUCCUAUAAAACGGCUGCACCCUUAUAUCCCUUUGCUGACUCUCUGUUUGGACUCAGUCUGCCUGCACCCAAGUGAAAUAAACAGCCUUGUUGCUCACA